rnacentral:lncRNA from 1 species
UUUGUCUUUUUUCCCCCCACUAAUUUUGUUUUAAUAUUUCUUCAUUAAUUUUAGUAAUUAAGAUGUGUGUGAUAACUAUUAAUUUAAAUUUUCUAAAAUAAAUAUAAUAAGAAAGUAAUAUCUUUGUAUUUAAAUUUUGCUAUGCUUUUGUAUUUAACUCUUAUAAGAAAGAUUCAAGUUUUUUUCUCAAGUUAGGUUUGAAAAAUUGAUCAAUAUAUAUAUAUAUAUAUAUAUAUAUAUAUAAAUAAAUAAAGAGGUAUUUAAUAGAAAAGAAGAGAAAAAAAUUUAAAUAUUAGGUUUGUUUUUAAUUGUUAGAUCAUGUUUGAUUGAUUUGACUCAAAAUAAAGAAAUACACACCUUAAGUUAUUGGGCUUAUAAGAUUUUCCAAAUAUAUAUGUGAAUUGAAUGGGAGUCAAAGGCUAAUCGCACUUUUAGGAAUUUUGAAUUUAUUAUUAGCAAAACAACUUGAGCUUCUUAUAGAGUGUAAUGCCAUGCUGAUGGGUAAUAAAGGCUUUCAUACCUUGUUUGCAAUUGGAAGCUAUUCAUUCAAGGUGAGCUCCAUAAGAUUUGAAUUCAGAUCACAAGUGAUAUAGUUUAUGUGUUUAUUUAUGCAUUCCUAAUUUAUUCUUUUCAAAUAAUAUGUAAAAUGGUUAAGUAUGAUGCUAUGUAUGUUGUUGAAAUCUUCAUAUAAAUUAGUGAAUCAAAAAAACAAUUUUCAUCAGCCUGUGGCCAUUUUCAUAAAUAUUCUUAAAAUACUCAUAAACUAUAGGGGUAUAGAAGAAUUUUGUAAAACAUGGCAACCCCUAGCCCUCCCCUACCUUCGUCUCUGCUGGUGAUCAGGUCUUGGAAAAAGUUAAUAGUUUUCAGUAAAUUAAAGGGAUCUAACAAUGUUUCUUCUGCUUUAAUCCUUUAUUUCGUUGUGAUAAUUUCUUAUUGAUCUUUGAAAAAGUUAAAAUGGUAAAUUUCUCAAAUAAUGAUCCGAACCUUUUUAGCAAGCUAAAAUAAGACAAUAUUUUAGACUGAUUUGUUUGCAUAAACUGACCGAAAGCUUAUUCUCAUGAAAAGUUACAGACAAAGCUAUGCUUGUCUAAUGGAAAUAGCUGCAUCGCUUCAUGCAAUAUUUUGAUGCUUGCGGUUCUCUUGACCAUUCAAAUUUUCGCAGCUCCAUUAUUUUCCAAUGACCUCCAAUAGUUUUAUGUAAAUUACAUUUGCACUCUAUAUUUCUAUUAAACUUUUACUUUAUACCAUUUAAUUCUAAUGAGCAAAAUUUGUACAUAUGAGUUCAUGUGUCAAUGCGGUAUUUCUGUUCAUUUAUUUUCAAUUAAGUGAGAAAUUGAGACGUAUGACUUUACAAAAAUAGGCCGUUAAUUAGAACUUAAAGCGAAAUAAUUGAUUGACACGAUGCAUGGCAGUUAGUGCAAAAUAUAAUUUUAUAAAGGGGUAGGUAUGGUAUUAAUUUUUUCAUAAUUCUACAUAAAUGUUUUUGGUGGGUGCAUUCAAAAUAAGUAGUUGUGCAUUUAAGUCUAAUGAGUGGUUCAAAAAGCUUCGAUAAGUCGCUGGUUCUUUCUCCAUAUUUUCCAUGGUAAUACUCUGUUGACCGUCCAAAGCAUCGUUUGCAAAGUCUUCCAGAUUUAUUUUCAUUCUCCGAUUUCUCUGCAAGAUCGAAUACCAUCGGAUCUCGACAAAAUGAGUGAGGAGUCUUAUUUCUAUGUGCUUGUUUAUAUGUGGGUUCAUAUAUCUUUUUUCACGAAUUAAAACAAUUUGUUGAUUCAGGUUUCCUAUGAAAAACACUCCUUACGACUCCAAAAGUAGGGAUCAUCCGUGUCUUGAAGGGAUCAGAUUUAUAAAACGAUGUGGGUAAUUAAAAUUAAAUCACGCAGCAAAUUUUCAUAUUCUUUUUUAUCUUUGUAGUUUUCUAGCAACUUGCCGGCUCACCGUCCCAGCCUUUAAAUUAGUUUUUUUUUCUAGCAUUAUGCCUUGAUGAGUGUGUUCUUAUUUGACACCACGACGCAUUAUCAUUUAUGAUCUGUUCUGUUUUUUUUAGUCAAGGUGAGUAAGAGAACUGAAACCCAAUUAAAAUAUAAAAAAAGGUCACGAAAAGCAAAAAUAAGGUACAAAUCCGUGUGGCACAGCACACAUUACGAACUUGCCUUCACAGACAGUAUUAUUUAGGGUUCUUUUAACUCUUUCAAUUUUUUUAGACCUCCAAUAUUCCCCUCAUCAAAAAAUGAACACACUCAUUAUAUGUGUACAUUAUACACACUUUUCAAUGAGUCAGAUAAUUUUACUUCUGUAUAAGGAUUUUAUUGGGAUAUUUGAUAAUGUUUUUACUUUUUUUAUUUAUGUGUUUGCACCGUGUCCCCACGCCCGCAUUCACGCUUGUUCUGUCUAAGUUUUUUGUAAAAACAAAACUAAACCCAAAUACCCCCCUGUUUGUAUUCAUAUUUUUUAAACUAGUUAAAAACAAAAAAUAUGUUUGUGUUUAUUUUUUUAAUACUAU